rnacentral:misc_RNA from 1 species
UUUCCGUAGGUGAACCUGCGGAAGGAUCAUUAUUGAAUAUGCUUGAUAGGUUGUAGCUGGCUCUUCGGAGUAUGUGCACGCUUAUCUUGGCUUAAUUCAUCCACCUGUGCACCUUUUGUAGUCUUGGGGGUUGAGAUCGGUCGACUAUCGGAUGGCCAAGGUCAUUCCGGAUGUGUGGAAUGCUGAGUGCGAAAGCAUACAGCUCUUCUCAAAUGACUUGUCUUCCUCGAGUACUAUGUAUUCAUAUACCACAUAGUAUGUUGUAGAAUGUGAUCAAUGGGUCUAUGUACCUAUAAUAAUUAUAUACAACUUUCAGCAACGGAUCUCUUGGCUCUC